rnacentral:rRNA from 1 species
UUGAAGAGUUUGAUCAUGGCUCAGAUUGAACGCUGGCGGCAGGCCUAACACAUGCAAGUCGAGCGGUAGCACAGAGAGCUUGCUCUCGGGUGACGAGCGGCGGACGGGUGAGUAAUGUCUGGGAAACUGCCUGAUGGAGGGGGAUAACUACUGGAAACGGUAGCUAAUACCGCAUAACGUCGYAAGACCAAAGUGGGGGACCUUCGGGCCUCAUGCCAUCAGAUGUGCCCAGAUGGGAUUAGCUAGYAGGUGGGGUAACGGCUCACCUAGGCGACGAUCCCUAGCUGGUCUGAGAGGAUGACCAGCCACACUGGAACUGAGACACGGUCCAGACUCCUACGGGAGGCAGCAGUGGGGAAUAUUGCACAAUGGGCGCAAGCCUGAUGCAGCCAUGCCGCGUGUGUGAAGAAGGCCUUCGGGUUGUAAAGCACUUUCAGCGGGGAGGAAGGCGGUGAGGUUAAUAACCUCACCGAUUGACGUUACCCGCAGAAGAAGCACCGGCUAACUCCGUGCCAGCAGCCGCGGUAAUACGGAGGGUGCAAGCGUUAAUCGGAAUUACUGGGCGUAAAGCGCACGCAGGCGGUCUGUCAAGUCGGAUGUGAAAUCCCCGGGCUCAACCUGGGAACUGCAUUCGAAACUGGCAGGCUAGAGUCUUGUAGAGGGGGGUAGAAUUCCAGGUGUAGCGGUGAAAUGCGUAGAGAUCUGGAGGAAUACCGGUGGCGAAGGCGGCCCCCUGGACAAAGACUGACGCUCAGGUGCGAAAGCGUGGGGAGCAAACAGGAUUAGAUACCCUGGUAGUCCACGCCGUAAACGAUGUCGAUUUGGAGGUUGUGCCCUUGAGGCGUGGCUUCCGGAGCUAACGCGUUAAAUCGACCGCCUGGGGAGUACGGCCGCAAGGUUAAAACUCAAAUGAAUUGACGGGGGCCCGCACAAGCGGUGGAGCAUGUGGUUUAAUUCGAUGCAACGCGAAGAACCUUACCUGGUCUUGACAUCCACAGAACUUUCCAGAGAUGGAUUGGUGCCUUCGGGAACUGUGAGACAGGUGCUGCAUGGCUGUCGUCAGCUCGUGUUGUGAAAUGUUGGGUUAAGUCCCGCAACGAGCGCAACCCUUAUCCUUUGUUGCCAGCGGUYCGGCCGGGAACUCAAAGGAGACUGCCAGUGAUAAACUGGAGGAAGGUGGGGAUGACGUCAAGUCAUCAUG